GACUACGCGAGGCUGCAGUGAGGAAUAUUGGUCAAUGGCCGAGAGGCUGAACCAGCCAAGUCGUGUGAGGGAAGACGGCCCUACGGGUUGUAAACCUCUUUUGUCGGGGAGCAAAGCGAACCACGUGUGGUUCAUUGAUAGUACCCGCAGAAAAAGCAUCGGCUAACUCCGUGCCAGCAGCCGCGGUAAUACGGAGGAUGCGAGCGUUAUCCGGAUUUAUUGGGUUUAAAGGGUGCGCAGGCGGAGGUGCAAGUCAGCGGUAAAAUUGAGAGGCUCAACCUCUUCGAGCCGUUGAAACUGGUGUUCUUGAGUGAGUGAGAAGUAUGCGGAAUGCGUGGUGUAGCGGUGAAAUGCAUAGAUAUCACGCAGAACUCCGAUUGCGAAGGCAGCAUACCGGCGCUCAACUGACGCUCAUGCACGAAAGUGUGGGUAUCGAACAGGAUUAGAUACCCUUGUAGUC
rnacentral:rRNA from 1 species